AGCCACAAACCAAGGUCCAUCAAAACAAACAUGAUUGAAAUCUUCUUCCGACCAUAGAUGAAUCGUAAACAAACCAUGGGUUAGUUGCCGGAAAUAACAAUUAUAUCUGAGCCUCCAUUGAGUUGGAAGGUUUGUUGAAUAGACAGGGUAUGAAAGAGCCUGAUCUUUAAAUUUAGCAACUAGAGUCCAUUUCCAUGUGGCUGAAAUACGAUCUUGCAAUUGAGCAGGGAAGGUAAUUGUUUUGGUGCUACUGACACGGUUACCAUGAAGAAGAGCAUCUCGAUAAGUGCGACUAGGGCUAAAUGGGGAUAACAUCUUAAUAUCUAAUCAAUCUACAAUAAAGUUGGAGAAAAGACAAUGUAGCUCAAUAAUCUCUCUGGAUUAUUGCUCAAUAAUCUACAGGUAAUGUAUUGUAACUGCUGUACUGCUACUUAUGUACUCCUACUUUGGUAUAGUAGAAUAGUCUGGUUGUUCAAAAAAAAAAAACCGUAGAAAUUUAAUCUUCAGAUAAAAAGACAAUUAAAUGUAAAUAAAAUUAAGUAACCAAGGUUGAAUAUUUUUCACAAAUGCCAUUCUAUUAUUCUCUGCUUGUUUAUCCAACAAAAAAAAAACGAACUUUUAUGCAAAAUUCAUAAUAUUGAUGAACAACAACAAAAUACAAUUUUGGUGCAAUUGCAGAAAAUACUCAAAAUAACCCAAUACAAAUGGAUCUAUGAAGCAUAGAUAGAAGGAGUUAAAAAUUAAAAUAAAAAUCGAAACUUUACGAAGAAAAGUUAUAAUUUAACAGAAAAAACUAAUAAUAAUCAUAAAACCACUACUUACAGCAAUAAAUAAAUUGAUAGUAAAUUUCUUCUCUCAAGCUUUCUUGUCCAUCAUCUUCAUAUUCAUCUUCUUCGAGUUUUUUCUCGAUCUGAGUCUUUUGAUCUUUCUUUUCUUAUCUUUCGUCCGUUAUUAAUAGUGAUUUUUUUUUUUUUUUGUCGGCUUACGUGUCCAGUUGCCAUUCGAAACACCUCUUAAAAUAGUAAUCCAGGAUUCCAGGCAUCCAGCUGUUCUUGUACACUUUUAAGUUUGUCAGUGUGUCAUUUACAUCACAUGGAGUCUUAUUAGAUCGGUCCUAAGUCCUAACAUACGAAAGAGGAACAUAAGAGUGUUUGCUGGAUUGGGCUAUUAAGGGUCAUUAGUGGAGUCCAGCCCACAUAGAGAAAGAGUACAGUAAGAGGUUUAAGGUUAUAUAUGUGGAUCUCACUAUCAUUAUUAAACUAGCUGUAGACCCAUGCUACAUACCGGGAUUAGAGAUUUUGCGAAAGAAAUUUCUUAAUUUAUCUGUAUUUAUUUUUUAUUUAUUUAUAUGUACAUAUAAUAAAUUAUUAUGUUUAGUUAUAUUUGAUUAUUAACUAGUUAUUGAACCCGUGCUACGCACCGAGAUUUGUGUGAUCCUAUAUACGAAGAAUCACUUAUACUGCAUGCUAUUGAUCGAAUGUGAUUACAUAGUAAAAAUAUUUAGUUUGAAGAUAAAAUUAUCACUAAAUUGUAGUAGUGUAUAGGGUUUUAGGUUAUGUGUUUAUACAAUUUACUUUUGUUCUUUAUUUUUUUUCGUAGAAUUGACAACAGAAAUUAACAUUUGCUAACACUCUGAAGAUCUUAAUUCGUAGCGCUUCUUUUUUUAGAGAGCAUACAUGCAGGUCAUUGUUGCUUACUUGUUUGUUUGCAGGUCAUCGUUGCUUACUUGUUUGUUGUAUACAUGUACAAUUUGCCCCUCAAGGGUAUAAUUUUGAUAAUUAGAAUCAGAAA
rnacentral:lncRNA from 1 species